UACCUUAAGACAAAAAUAAUUUAAGGCAAACCCUGCCCAGUGAAAUCUUCAACGGCCGCGGUAUCCUAACCGUGCAAAGGUAGCAUAAUAACUUGCCUAUUAAUUAUAGGAUAGAAUGAAAGGGUAAACGAAAUAGGAGCUGUCUCUAUUAGCCCAAUGAAAAUUAUUUUUUAACUGAAGAAAGUUAAAUUCAACUGAAGGACAAGAAGACCCUAUAGAGCUUAAUUUAACCUACUAAAUAAGUAAAAAUUAAAUUCGGUUGGGGCGACCGAUGCUCUACAAAUCAUCACCCACAAAAAGAAAUAUACAUCUCAAAAAAGACCCUGACCCAGAUCAAAAAAACAAGCUACCUUAGGGAUAACAGGCUAAUCUCAUUAAUGAGUCCCCAUCUAUAAUGUUGGUUGGCACCUCGAUGUUGGCUUAGGGAAUCAAAAGGGCGCAGAAGCUUUUUAAGACGGUUUGUUCAACCAUUAAACCCCUA
rnacentral:rRNA from 1 species